rnacentral:rRNA from 1 species
CCUACGGGCGGCUGCAGUGGGGAAUUUUGGACAAUGGGCGAAAGCCUGAUCCAGCCAUGCCGCGUGCGGGAAGAAGGCCUUCGGGUUGUAAACCGCUUUUGUCAGGGAAGAAAAGCGCCAGGCUAAUACCUUGGCGUCAUGACGGUACCUGAAGAAUAAGCACCGGCUAACUACGUGCCAGCAGCCGCGGUAAUACGUAGGGUUCAAGCGUUAAUCGGAAUUACUGGGCGGAACGUGUAAGACGGAUGUCAAAUCCCCGGGCUCAACCUGGGAACUGCAUUUGUGACUGCACGGCUUGAGUGCGGCAGAGGGGAAUGGAAUUCCGCAUGUAGCAGUGAAAUGCGUAGAUAUGCGGAGGAACACCGAUGGCGAAGGCAAUUCCCUGGGCCUGCACUGACGCUCAUGCACGAAAGCGUGGGGAGCAAACAGGAUUAGAUACCCGUGUAGUC